CGCGGGGUAGAGCAGUGGCAGCUCGUCAGGCUCAUAACCUGAAAGUCGUUGGUUCGAGUCCAACCCCCGCAACCA
rnacentral:tRNA from 1 species